ACAUGGAUCUUCAAUAAUAUAAGUCUCCCAAAGGGUUUAGAGUCAGAAGCACAAGAAGUAGCCUAGAGAAAUAGAACACAGAUGAAAAUGGAAUUCUCAUCAUUCUACCUUCCUGAAGAAAUGAUGAUCGAAAUUCUUCUGAGGCUACCCAUCAAGUCUCUCCUUCAGUUCACCUCUGUUAGCAAAUCUUGGAACACCCUUAUUAAACACAAUACCUUCAUCAAAAACCACCUCAAACUCACUUCAAACAGAAUCACCAGAGAUGGCCCUCUGCUCCUUCUCAGGCAUUGCCCCAGAGAGCCCAAUGUAGAGCAGUAUUCUCUACAUUUAGACAACCACACCUUCCAAGAGUACUCAAAACCACAACUUCCAGAUAAGAGCUUCAAUGAGUGUUUCCGAAUUGUGGGUUCGUGCAAUGGAUUAAUCCUCCUCUCAGACGAUUACGUGACCGAGACCAAUAACUUCAUUCUAUGGAACCCCUCAAUUCGAAAGUCCAUCACUAUUCCUAAACCUCAUAUCCCACACUCUGAAGACUACACAGUUUAUGGGUUUGGGUUUGAUGCUGAGAGAGAUGAUUACAAGAUAGUGCAGCUGGUGUAUGAAGGUCACAACAGAGGUAGCCCUGAAGUUGAGCUCUACUCACUCAAUUCAAGGUCUUGGAAAAGCAUUACUGCAGCUUCUCCCAAGCAUGAGAUUGCUCGGAGUAUGUGGUCUCAGGUUUUUGUUAAUGGGUUUAUCCAUUUCAUAGGGUAUUCUAAGAAAGAAGAAGCUUUUCACAAUGUUGUUUUGGGAUUUGAUGUGUGUGAAGAGGUUUUUCAUGAGAUUAAAAUGCCAGAGGACUUGGCUUCUGAGGCGCCAAACAUGUUCAUUUCAGUCAUUGGCAAGUCCCUUUCUGUGCAACACUAUGAUAGUAUACAUAACUGUUGGAAUAUAUGGGUUAUGAGAGAGUAUGGGGUGGUGGAGUCAUGGACAAAGCAAUUCACCAUCGAUAUUCUUACCCCGAACUAUCGGGUAACAAGGGUUUUGGGGUCUAGCAAGAAUGGUGAGUUUCUUUUAGAAAUGUAUAAAGGAAAGAAGGGAGAGAUAGUCCUUCAUGAUCCCAAGAAAAACACAAAUGAGCUUCUUGGAAUUUAUACAGAUCCAGGAUGCACAUGUCUUGAAUAUUACAUGGAGAGUCUAGUUUUACUUGAUAAAGCAACUUGAUAUGCAGAUUCCAUGGAGCAAGAAGAGGAAGUAUAAUGGAAAUCUGAUUGCACCCUCAGGGCUGCAGCUACUUCAUAUGAUGGAGAUAUGAUGAGUCAGUUUUGCUAGACGACAUAGUCAAGGAGAAAAGAAUUUCAGAGUUAUUGGAAGAGUAAAACAAGCUUGAAUCAGAG